UCUUAGUGGCGGACGGUGAGUAACGCGUGGUAACCUGCCUUAUACAGGGGGAUAACACUUAGAAAUAGGUGCUAAUACCGCAUAAGCGCACGGGGCUGCAUGGCCCAGUGUGAAAAACUCCGGUGGUAUAAGAUGGACCCGCGUCUGAUUAGCUUGUUGGCGGGGUAACGGCCCACCAAGGCGACGAUCAGUAGCCGGCCUGAGAGGGUGGACGGCCACAUUGGGACUGAGACACGGCCCAAACUCCUACGGGAGGCAGCAG
rnacentral:rRNA from 1 species